UACGGAGGGGGCUAGCGUUGUUCGGAAUUACUGGGCGUAAAGCGCACGUAGGCGGCUUUGUAAGUUAGAGGUGAAAGCCCGGGGCUCAACUCCGGAAUUGCCUUUAAGACUGCAUCGCUAGAAUUGUGGAGAGGUAAGUGGAAUUCCGAGUGUAGAGGUGAAAUUCGUAGAUAUUCGGAAGAACACCAGUGGCGAAGGCGACUUACUGGACACAUAUUGACGCUGAGGUGCGAAAGCGUGAGGAGCAAACAGG
rnacentral:rRNA from 1 species